GCUGAUAUAGCUCAGUAGGUAGAGCGCAUCCUUGGUAAGGAUGAGGUCACCAGUUCGACUCUGGUUAUCAGCUCCA
rnacentral:tRNA from 1 species